CCUCGAGAGACCGCGGGGCUGGGCGCUGCUCUACCAAGCUACUCUUGGAGCUACCUAAGAGGCAGAACUGGGAUCCCGCAGGGGUGUUCCACCUAUGUCCUAGUGCUGUCUUCACCAUGUCACUGUUGUCCCCAAUGGCAGACGAUGCAGAAAAAGACCAUGAUACCCCAUUAGCUUCUUUCAAAGAACAAGAUGCUGGGGUGCUUCCCGUGGGAGGUGUGAUACAUGGUCUGAACAAAGCAGUUCUGGGAUUCAUUCUUCACCCCUCUAGGAGCAAGAUGGAGUUGCAGCCAUGGAUGAUGCCCGUGAGGGCCCCUGGAUAAGAUCCUUUUGCCCUCGAACCCGAGCACCAAGACACCCUGC